ACGGAAGGCAGCAGUGGGGAAUCUUGGGCAAUGGGGGAAACCCUGACCCAGCGACGCCGUGUGGGGGAUGAAGGCUUUCGGGUUGUAAACCCCUGUUAGGUGGGACGAAUGCUUUUUCGCAAAUAGCGAAAAGGUUUGACGGUACCACCAGAGAAAGCCCCGGCUAACUCCGUGCCAGCAGCCGCGGUAAUACGGAGGGGGCGAGUGUUGUUCGGAAUUACUGGGCGUAAAGGGCGCGCAGGCGGCUUGGCAAGUCGAGUGUGAAAUCCCUUGGCUUAACUGAGGAAUGGCGCUCGAAACUACCUCGCUGGAGGGCGGGAGAGGGAAGUGGAACUCUCGGUGUAGGGGUGAAAUCUGUAGAUAUCGAGAGGAACACCGGUGGCGAAGGCGGCUUCCUGGCCCGUACCUGACGCUGAGGCGCGAAAGCGUGGGGAGCAAACAGGAUUAGAUACCCUGGUA
rnacentral:rRNA from 1 species